ACAAGGGGAGCAAAUGAAAUCCUGGUUAGGAAAAGGGUUGGGUUCCCAAUCAGAAUGAUUGAUUCUCCUUUUGUGAAGUUUAGUGGGAUUUAACCUCUGGGUAUCCUAGAUCUUAUAACGAUUAUUAAUGAACGUCUACAAAAGAAUUCAAGAUAAAGUCCAAGAAGAAUGCGUCGAUUGCUACCCGGUGCAUGACGUACACGAUCCAUGUCGCAGCUGCGCUUGCAGGUCUUCUGCUGUCCACCUGUGGCAUCCACCCCGGCGUGCAGGCCCCCCCACCCCCCGAGGCCUGGAGGGCUGCCACGUCGCUGCCUUGUCGAAGUGGUUGGUGCCGCUUCUGAGAUGAAGGAAAUUCCUGCUUGAAAGGACGUGUUUAUUUUUAGACGUAAGUCUGUAUCAUGUGAGUCGAAAGCUGCAGUUUGUAUAUGAAAUUGCAUUUGGAGGGUAAGAGGUGUAGAGAGCCAGUUACAACCGGUUUGUUUAAACUAGGCCUGGAGCAGGUAGGACUGAGGGGGAGGCCCAAGCCUGUUCCAACCAGUAGAGCGUGCUCCCCGGAGCCGGGUGGCCCUGGGGCAGCAGACCCCGGGAUCCCGGCCUGGAAGUGGAACCUGCCAUGACUUUGAUCUUCGAGGCUCACCUAUUGGGACGGAGCUUUGCAAGGGCACAGCUACGGGCGCCGUGGAGUUUUGUGUGCGAAUUAGAAAUCAGGACUCCGGAUUUUCACACCCGAGUUCCAGCAGACUUUCCCCAUACGAUGACCCAGGGCACUGCUCGGCCCUCUGCUUGGCUCUUGAAACGAUGAGCAUGACAGGACCACGUUUCUCCAGAAUCCGUGGGCACCUAGGUCUGAAGGCACUUAUUCUCAGGUCCCAGUAUUUUGAGGGAAGGCAAUUGUGUCAGCCACAGAAGAAGAACAAAUGCGUAUAUUCAAGACAAUCCCUAUGGCAACACGGCUGUUACCUCUCACAAACUUUUAUGCGUUCUUGGGUGGGAGGAAAAGGGGUAGAGAUGCGCCUACACCUCUGGACAUGCCCGUGGGGCUGUGAGAUACACGUCGAAGCCAUCUUUCUUGUGCUUUAAGGUGAGGAAUCUGAGUACUGAAGUUGUGGUUUUUGUCUGGGUUGAAUCAGUUAGUGAACAGCAGAGUCAAGACUCCAACCAGAGUGGACUGAGGAGCCAAGUCCCCGGGGGAGGGGUGCUGUGCAGGAGCACCUCACAAUGCCAGUCUUUCUCCGAUACUUUCUCUUUUUCCCAUUUUGGCUCUACUCGGAGGAGAGCUGAGUUUCUUCCAGAGUGACAAUGCAGAGAGCUUUGAAAAAUCAAGUUUCUAUGUUAUCAGAUGACCCACAGAGAAGGCCAUGUGGCAAGGAACUGUGGGGUGGCUCCUAGGAGCCGAUAGUGAGAGCUGGCAAGGGGCCAGGGCCCUCAGUCCUACAAACACAGGAACUUAAUGCUACUAACAAUCUCGUUGGAAAUGGAUCACCAACCAAGUUUCAAGAUAAGAACAAAAUGCUGGUCGACACCUUGAUUGUAGCUUUGCAGAGGAUUGCCGAACUCCUGACCCGUGGAAACUAUGAGAUGUAGAAACAAGGCCACAGAAAGUCAAGUGACUGUCCGAGGCCACAUGGGUCACUAGCAAUUAGAACCUGCAUCCGUCUUCCCCAUCUGGAGCUCUUCUUGCUACAUGAUGCUGCUUUCCAGGCAUUACAUGUAUCAAGUUUUUUGUUUUU